rnacentral:rRNA from 1 species
UGCUUAACACAUGCAAGUCGAACGCAACCUUCGGGUUGAGUGGCGGACGGGUGAGUAACGCGUGAGAAUCUGCCUUGGGGUCGGGGACAACCACUGGAAACGGUGGCUAAUACCGGAUAAGCCUUUGGGUAAAAGAUUUAUUGCCCCAAGAGGAGCUCGCGUCUGAUUAGCUAGUUGGUGAGGUAAAAGCUCACCAAGGCAGCGAUCAGUAGCUGGUCUGAGAGGACGAUCAGCCACACUGGGACUGAGACACGGCCCAGACUCCUACGGGAGGCAGCAGUGGGGAAUUUUCCGCAAUGGGCGAAAGCCUGACGGAGCAAGACCGCAUGAGGGAGGAAGGCUCUUGGGUUGUAAACCUCUUUUCUCAGGGAAGAAGCUCUGACGGUACCUGAGGAAUCAGCCUCGGCUAACUCCGUGCCAGCAGCCGCGGUAAUACGGAGGAGGCAAGCGUUAUCCGGAAUUAUUGGGCGUAAAGCGUCCGCAGGUGGCGAUUCAAGUCUGCUGUCAAAGCACGGGGCUUAACUCCGUUAAGGCAGUGGAAACUGAAUAGCUAGAGUGCCGUAGGGGUAGAGGGAAUUCCCGGUGUAGCGGUGAAAUGCGUAGAGAUCGGGAAGAACAUCGGUGGCGAAAGCGCUCUACUGGACGGCAACUGACACUCAGGGACGAAAGCUAGGGGAGCGAAUGGGAUUAGAUACCCCAGUAGUCCUAGCUGUAAACGAUGGAUACUAGGUGUAGCUUGUAUCGACCCGAGCUGUGCCGAAGCUAACGCGUUAAGUAUCCCGCCUGGGGAGUACGCACGCAAGUGUGAAACUCAAAGGAAUUGACGGGGGCCCGCACAAGCGGUGGAGUAUGUGGUUUAAUUCGAUGCAACGCGAAGAACCUUACCA